rnacentral:rRNA from 1 species
AUACGAAGGGUGCAAGCGUUAAUCGGAAUUACUGGGCGUAAAGCGCGUGUAGGCGGUUAUUUAAGUCAGAUGUGAAAGCCCCGGGCUCAACCUGGGAAUGGCAUUUGAUACUGGGUAACUGGAAUGUGGUAGAGGAAGGCGGAAUUUCCGGUGUAGCGGUGAAAUGCGUAGAUAUCGGAAAGAACACCAAUGGCGAAGGCAGCCUCCUGGGCCAACAUUGACGCUGAGACGCGAAAGCGUGGGGAGC